rnacentral:rRNA from 1 species
GAUGAACGCUGGCGGCGUGCUUAACACAUGCAAGUCGAACGAAGCAUUUAAGACAGAUUACUUCGGUUUGAAGUCUUUUAUGACUGAGUGGCGGACGGGUGAGUAACGCGUGGGUAACCUGCCUCAUACAGGGGGAUAGCAGCUGGAAACGGCUGGUAAUACCGCAUAAGCGCACAGUACCACAUGGUACAGUGUGAAAAACUCCGGUGGUAUGAGAUGGACCCGCGUCUGAUUAGCUUGUUGGCGGGGUAACGGCCCAGCAAGGCGACGAUCAGUAGCCGACCUGAGAGGGUGACCGGCCACAUUGGGACUGAGACACGGCCCAGACUCCUACGGGAGGCAGCAGUGGGGAAUAUUGCACAAUGGAGGAAACUCUGAUGCAGCGACGCCGCGUGAGUGAAGAAGUAGUUCGCUAUGUAAAGCUCUAUCAGCAGGGAAGAUAGUGACGGUACCUGACUAAGAAGCUCCGGCUAAAUACGU